UACGGAGGGUGCAAGCGUUAUCCGGAUUCACUGGGUUUAAAGGGUGCGUAGGUGGGUUGGUAAGUCAGUGGUGAAAUCCCCGAGCUUAACUUGGGAACUGCCAUUGAUACUAUUAAUCUUGAAUACUGUGGAGGUCAGCGGAAUAUGUCAUGUAGCGGUGAAAUGCUUAGAUAUGACAUAGAACACCAAUUGCGAAGGCAGCUGGCUACACAAAUAUUGACACUGAGGCACGAAAGCGUGGGGAUCAAACAGG
rnacentral:rRNA from 1 species